CCAUCUGAUCGGGACUCACAAUAAAGGGACUGUAUCAUACAUUAACUGCACCUAGAGGUUCAUCAUCUUUUAUUCUGCUAGAUUGUCACACAUACUGCAAGGUAUCACUGAUGGAUUGUGAGACCCACGAGCAUCAUUUUGAUGAUCAAUGAUCCUUGAUGGGCAGAGUUGGAAUGGUUCCAACUCAUUGAAAAGAGUUUUAAUGAUAUUAUGAUAGGGAUCAUAAUAUAUCUCACUACUAGACAGAAUAAAACUUA
rnacentral:lncRNA from 1 species